rnacentral:misc_RNA from 1 species
GGGCUGUGGAUGAAUGCUACGCCGCCGGCUAUCUAGGCAAGAACAUUCUCGGCAGCCCGUAUUCGCUCGACAUUUUCCUGCACCGCGGCGCGGGCGCCUAUAUCUGCGGUGAAGAGACGGGUUUGAUCGAGAGCCUGGAAGGAAAGCGCGCCUGGCCGCGGAUCAAGCCGCCGUUUCCCGCCGUCGAAGGCGCGUUUCGCAAACCGACGGUCGUCAACAAUGUUGAAACGGUCGCCUGCGUGCGGCACAUCCUGGAGCGCGGCGCCGAUUGGUUUAAAUCGAUGGGCGUGCCCCCCGAUCCGAGCAACCCACGCGACGCCGGCAGCUACGGGCCCAAACUCUACUGCUUGUCAGG